rnacentral:rRNA from 1 species
AUGUUGGGCUGGCCACUGUACGCGGAGCACAGGAUGAACAAGGUGCUCAUGGUGGAUGAUCUGAGGAUCGCGGUGGAGAUGAUUGGGUGGCAGCAGGGGCUGGUCCAGGCCGACGAGGUGGAGGCUAAGGUUAGGCUUGUGAUGGAGUCCGACACAGGCAGGGAACUCCAGGAGUGAGUGUCUGUUCACCAGAAAGGCGCCGCCAUGGCCUGGAGCAACGGUGGCUCGUCAUGGUCGGCUUUUGAGCGAUUCCUGUCGGACAUGAACUGCCGCUAUGGAGCCUCUGCUGGACAGUCCAUGUACCCUUGA